AGGGUGCCCGAGAAACAUUUGAGAACUACUACCGAAAACAGAGGCGAAAAUAGGCCCGUUUGGUGCUCCAAGCUCCAUCUAACAUGCAUGAAACUUUAGAUGGCUACAGGAAGUAUUUUAAUCAAAUUGUAGGCUUUUUUGUGGUUGAAGAUCACAUUUUACACACAACCCAGGGCUUAGUAAAUAGAGCCUACAUUGAUGAACUGUGG